AGUCCGGGAAAAGCGCGCGCCCGCGAGAGCAUGGGCGCACCCGGCGGGCUCUUUGGGCGCUCCGUACCUCCCUGCUGCAGGGAUCCCGGGGAGCCCGGCGUUCGCACCCGCGUUCUCACCAAGCAUCCGCGGCUGCCCCUUGCCCGGCUCCUGAACCAUCCUGAAGCACAGGUGCUACAUCCACGGAGGCCAUUUUCAUCCAAACCACCACAGUGGCACUAUUGAGAGGUGCCCAGCCCAGACCAUCGAUACCGUCUCUAUCCCCCUCCCCGCCCCCUCGCAGCGCGUAGACACCUCGGCAACUCGCCCUGUUCCCACCAACUUCUACCGCGGGUUCGGCCGGCAGAGGCAGUAACUCAGCCAGGCUGAUGAUGGGAAGAAACCAAGAUGGGGGUGUUGGCUUGCCUGGCUCCUGUUCCCCUGGCACACCACCUCCCGCUACCAAAGGCCAUGUCAGGCCUCCUUCCUUCUACCGUGACCCAUGUUCUCUCCAGGUGUUCCAGAGGCUAAUGGUUUCCUGCCGUUUCUAACGUUCCUUCUAAAGGAUCCGACUCUGCUUCCUAAACCCUGAUCACACUUUGUACAUGCUCACUGUAUAUAAAUUGUUAAUGGCAAGAAACUGCCCUGAAUGUAGGACCUUAAAAAGCAUUUAUAAUCAAAUGUCUU